AGUCGAACGGCAGCGCGGGGCAACCUGGCGGCGAGUGGCGAACGGGUGAGUNNUAUAUCGGAACGUACCCAAGAGUGGGGGAUAACGUAGCGAAAGUUAUUCUAAUACCGCAUACGAUCCAAGGAUGAAAGCAGGGGACCGCAAGGCCUUGUGCUCCUGGAGCGGCCGAUAUCUGAUUAGCUAGUUGGUGAGGUAAAGGCUCACCAAGGCGACGAUCAGUAGCUGGUCUGAGAGGACGACCAGCCACACUGGAACUGAGACACGGUCCAGACUCCUACGGGAGGCAGCAGUGGGGAAUUUUGGACAAUGGGCGCAAGCCUGAUCCAGCAAUGCCGCGUGAGUGAAGAAGGCCUUCGGGUUGUAAAGCUCUUUUGUCAGGGAAGAAACGGCUGUGGCUAAUAUCCACGGUUAAUGACGGUACCUGAAGAAUAAGCACCGGCUAACUACGUGCCAGCAGCCGCGGUAAUACGUAGGGUGCAAGCGUUAAUCGGAAUUACUGGGCGUAAAGCGUGCGCAGGCGGUUUUGUAAGUCUGUCGUGAAAGCCCCGGGCUCAACCUGGGAAUUGCGAUGGAGACUGCAAGGCUUGAAUCUGGCAGAGGGGGGUAGAAUUCCACGUGUAGCAGUGAAAUGCGUAGAGAUGUGGAGGAACACCGAUGGCGAAGGCAGCCCCCUGGGUCAAGAUUGACGCUCAUGCACGAAAGCGUGGGGAGCAAACAGGAUUAGAUACCCUGGUAGUCCACGCCCUAAACGAUGUCUACUAGUUGUCGGGUUUUAAUUAACUUGGUAACGCAGCUAACGCGUGAAGUAGACCGCCUGGGGAGUACGGUCGCAAGAUUAAAACUCAAAGGAAUUGACGGGGACCCGCACAAGCNGUGGAUGAUGUGGAUUAAUUCGAUGCAACGCGAAAAACCUUACCUACCCUUGACAUGUCAGGAAUCCUGGAGAGAUCUGGGAGUGCCC
rnacentral:rRNA from 1 species